rnacentral:rRNA from 1 species
GACGAACGCUGGCGGCGUGCUUAACACAUGCAAGUCGAACGAAGAGCGAUGGAAGCUUGCUUCUAUCAAUCUUAGUGGCGAACGGGUGAGUAACGCGUAAUCAACCUGCCCUUCAGAGGGGGACAACAGUUGGAAACGACUGCUAAUACCGCAUACGAUCUGAUCUCGGCAUCGAGGAUAGAUGAAAGGUGGCCUCUACAUGUAAGCUAUCACUGAAGGAGGGGAUUGCGUCUGAUUAGCUAGUUGGAGGGGUAACGGCCCACCAAGGCGAUGAUCAGUAGCCGGUCUGAGAGGAUGAACGGCCACAUUGGGACUGAGACACGGCCCAGACUCCUACGGGAGGCAGCAGUGGGGAAUCUUCCGCAAUGGACGAAAGUCUGACGGAGCAACGCCGCGUGAGCGAUGACGGCCUUCGGGUUGUAAAGCUCUGUUAAUCGGGACGAAAGGCCUUCUUGCGAAUAGUGAGAAGGAUUGACGGUACCGGAAUAGAAAGCCACGGCUAACUACGUG